rnacentral:rRNA from 1 species
AGUAGUUUGACUCCGUGGCUCAAGAACGAACGCUGGCGGCAUGCCUAACACAUGCAAGUCGAACGAGACCGUUCGGGUCUAGUGGCGCACGGGUGCGUAACGCGUGGGAAUCUGCCCCUUGGUUCGGAAUAACAGUUAGAAAUGACUGCUAAUACCGGAUGAUGACGAAAGUCCAAAGAUUUAUCGCCGAGGGAUGAGCCCGCGUAGGAUUAGCUAGUUGGUGAGGUAAAGGCUCACCAAGGCGACGAUCCUUAGCUGGUCUGAGAGGAUGAUCAGCCACACUGGGACUGAGACACGGCCCAGACUCCUACGGGAGGCAGCAGUGGGGAAUAUUGGACAAUGGGCGAAAGCCUGAUCCAGCAAUGCCGCGUGAGUGAUGAAGGCCUUAGGGUCGUAAAGCUCUUUACCAGGGAUGAUAAUGACAGUACCUGGAGAAUAAGCUCCGGCUAACUCCGUG